rnacentral:rRNA from 1 species
UACGGGGGGGGCAAGCGUUGUUCGGAAUUACUGGGCGUAAAGGGCUCGUAGGCGGCCAACUAAGUCAUACGUGAAAUCCCUCGGCUUAACCGGGGAACUGCGUCUGAUACUGGAUGGCUUGAGUUCGGGAGAGGGAUGCGGAAUUCCUGGUGUAGCGGUGAAAUGCGCAGAUAUCAGGAAGAACACCUAUGGCGAAGGCAGCUCUCUGGGACGGUACUGACGCUGAGACGCGAAAGCGUGGGGAGCGAACAGG